UGCUUUCCUGAAAGAGGCAAACUCCACAGA
rnacentral:piRNA from 1 species